rnacentral:rRNA from 1 species
ACUCCUACGGGAGGCAGCAGUAGGGAAUCUUCCACAAUGGACGAAAGUCUGAUGGAGCAACGCCGCGUGAGUGAAGAAGGGUUUCGGCUCGUAAAACUCUGUUGUUAAAGAAGAACAUAUCUGAGAGUAACUGUUCAGGUAUUGACGGUAUUUAACCAGAAAGCCACGGCUAACUACGUGCCAGCAGCCGCGGUAAUACGUAGGUGGCAAGCGUUGUCCGGAUUUAUUGGGCGUAAAGCGAGCGCAGGCGGUUUUUAAGUCUGAUGUGAAAGCCUUCGGCUCAACCGAAGAAGUGCAUCGGAAACUGGGAAACUUGAGUGCAGAAGAGGACAGUGGAACUCCAUGUGUAGCGGUGAAAUGCGUAGAUAUAUGGAAGAACACCAGUGGCGAAGGCGGCUGUCUGGUCUGUAACUGACGCUGAGGCUCGAAAGUAUGGGUAGCAAACAGGAUUAGAUACCCUGGUAGGAAAGC